rnacentral:rRNA from 1 species
AUACGUAGGUGACAAGCGUUAUCCGGAUUUACUGGGUGUAAAGGGCGUGUAGGCGGUUUAGCAAGUCAGAAGUGAAAUUCCCGGGCUUAACUUGGGCGCUGCUUCUGAAACUGCUUUACUUGAGUGCUGGAGAGGAUAGUGGAAUUCCUAGUGUAGCGGUAAAAUGCGCAGAUAUUAGGAGGAACACCGGUGGCGAAGGCGGCUAUCUGGACAGUAACUGACGCUGAGGCGCGAAAGCACGGGGAGCAAACAGGAUUAGAUACCCUGGUAGUCCGUGCCGUAAACGAUGAAUACUAGGUGUAGGGGGUAUCGACUCCCUCUGUGCCGCAGUUAACACAUUAAGUAUUCCACCUGGGGAGUACGCCGGCAACGGUGAAACUCAAAGGAAUUGACGGGG